CACUCACACACACAACAUAUACUCACAACACAUUCACACACAUACACAGUCUCACACACACAUACAUUCAUAUACUUACAACAUACAUACACAGUCUCACACACACAUGCUCACACACACACACAUACAUACAUACAUAUACUCACAACACACAUUCACACACAUACACAGCCUCACACACACAUGCUCACACACGCAUACAUACAGUUACACUCCGACACAGACUAUAUAUGUGUGAACAUAUAGUCUCACACAUGUUCACAUACACACUCACACGCAGAACACUCUCACAUAUACAUAUGUACUCACACUCUUACACAGGCAUACAUAAAUAUACACUCACAUAAUUCACAUAAAACUCAUACACACAUACACUCACACACUUACACACUGACAUACAUGCUUACACACUCAUACAACACUCUCACAUGCAUACAUACAUACAUUCACACACUCAUACACUCACACAAA
rnacentral:lncRNA from 1 species